CGAAAGCCUGACGGAGCAAGACCGCGUGGGGGAAGAAGGCUCUUGGGUUGUAAACCCCUUUUCUCUGGGAAGAAAGUUGUGAAAGCAACCUGACGGUACCAGAGGAAUCAGCAUCGGCUAACUCCGUGCCAGCAGCCGCGGUAAGACGGAGGAUGCAAGCGUUAUCCGGAAUGAUUGGGCGUAAAGCGUCCGCAGGUGGCAGUUCAAGUCUGCUGUCAAAGACCGGGGCUUAACUUCGGAAAGGCAGUGGAAACUGAACAGCUAGAGUAUGGUAGGGGCAGAGGGAAUUCCUGGUGUAGCGGUGAAAUGCGUAGAGAUCAGGAAGAACAUCGGUGGCGAAGGCGCUCUGCUGGGCUACAACUGACGCUGAUGGACGAAAGCUAGGGGAGCG
rnacentral:rRNA from 1 species